CGGCGAUGUCCGAAUGGGGAAACCCAGUGCAAUUCGUUGCACUAUCGUUAACUGAAUACAUAGGUUAACGAGGCGAACCGGGGGAACUGAAACAUCUAAGUACCCCGAGGAAAAGAAAUCAACCGAGAUUCCCCCAGUAGCGGCGAGCGAACGGGGAGCAGCCCAGAGUCUGAAUCAGCUUGUGUGUUAGUGGAACGGUCUGGAAAGUCCGACGGUACAGGGUGAUAGUCCCGUACACCAAAAUGCACAGGCUGUGAACUCGAAGAGUAGGGCGGGACACGUGGUAUCCUGUCUGAAUAUGGGGGGACCAUCCUCCAAGGCUAAAUACUCCUGACUGACCGAUAGUGAACCAGUACCGUGAGGGAAAGGCGAAAAGAACCCCGGCGAGGGGAGUGAAAAAGAACCUGAAACCGUGUACGUACAAGCAGUGGGAGCACCUUCGGGUGUGACUGCGUACCUUUUGUAUAAUGGGUCAGCGACUUAUAUUCUGUAGCAAGGUUAACCGUAUAGGGGAGCCGCAGGGAAACCGAGUCUUAACUGGGCGUUAAGUUGCAGGGUAUAGACCCGAAACCCGGUGAUCUAGCCAUGGGCAGGUUGAAGGUUGGGUAACACUAACUGGAGGACCGAACCGACUAAUGUUGAAAAAUUAGCGGAUGACUUGUGGCUGGGGGUGAAAGGCCAAUCAAACCGGGAGAUAGCUGGUUCUCCCCGAAAGCUAUUUAGGUAGCGCCUCGUGAAUUCAUCUUCGGGGGUAGAGCACUGUUUCGGCUAGGGGGUCAUCCCGACUUACCAACCCGAUGCAAACUACGAAUACCGAAGAAUGUUAUCACGGGAGACACACGGCGGGUGCUAACGUCCGUCGUGAAGAGGGAAACAACCCAGACCGCCAGCUAAGGUCCCAAAGUCAUGGUUAAGUGGGAAACGAUGUGGGAAGGCACAGACAGCCAGGAUGUUGGCUUAGAAGCAGCCAUCAUUUAAAGAAAGCGUAAUAGCUCACUGGUCGAGUCGGCCUGCGCGGAAGAUGUAACGGGGCUAAACCAUGCACCGAAGCUGCGGCAGCGACACUAUGUGUUGUUGGGUAGGGGAGCGUUCUGUAAGCCUGCGAAGGUGACCUGUGAGGGUUGCUGGAGGUAUCAGAAGUGCGAAUGCUGACAUAAGUAACGAUAAAGCGGGUGAAAAGCCCGCUCGCCGGAAGACCAAGGGUUCCUGUCCAACGUUAAUCGGGGCAGGGUGAGUCGACCCCUAAGGCGAGGCCGAAAGGCGUAGUCGAUGGGAAACAGGUUAAUAUUCCUGUACUUGGUGUUACUGCGAAGGGGGGACGGAGAAGGCUAUGUUAGCCGGGCGACGGUUGUCCCGGUUUAAGCAUGUAGGCUGGUUGUCCAGGCAAAUCCGGAUAAUCAAGGCUGAGGUGUGAUGACGAGGUACUACGGUGCUGAAGUAACAAAUGCCCUGCUUCCAGGAAAAGCCUCUAAGCAUCAGGUAACAUCAAAUCGUACCCCAAACCGACACAGGUGGUCAGGUAGAGAAUACCAAGGCGCUUGAGAGAACUCGGGUGAAGGAACUAGGCAAAAUGGUGCCGUAACUUCGGGAGAAGGCACGCUGGUGUGUAGGUGAAGUCCCUGCGGAUGGAGCUGAGACCAGUCGAAGAUACCAGCUGGCUGCAACUGUUUAUUAAAAACACAGCACUGUGCAAACACGAAAGUGGACGUAUACGGUGUGACGCCUGCCCGGUGCCGGAAGGUUAAUUGAUGGGGUUAUCCGUAAGGAGAAGCUCUUGAUCGAAGCCCCGGUAAACGGCGGCCGUAACUAUAACGGUCCUAAGGUAGCGAAAUUCCUUGUCGGGUAAGUUCCGACCUGCACGAAUGGCGUAAUGAUGGCCAGGCUGUCUCCACCCGAGACUCAGUGAAAUUGAACUCGCUGUGAAGAUGCAGUGUACCCGCGGCAAGACGGAAAGACCCCGUGAACCUUUACUAUAGCUUGACACUGAACAUUGAGCCUUGAUGUGUAGGAUAGGUGGGAGGCUUUGAAGCGUGGACGCCAGUCUGCGUGGAGCCAACCUUGAAAUACCACCCUUUAAUGUUUGAUGUUCUAACGUUGGCCCCUGACCGGGGUUGCGGACAGUGUCUGGUGGGUAGUUUGACUGGGGCGGUCUCCUCCCAAAGCGUAACGGAGGAGCACGAAGGUUAGCUAAUCCUGGUCGGACAUCAGGAGGUUAGUGCAAUGGCAUAAGCUAGCUUGACUGCGAGCGUGACGGCGCGAGCAGGUGCGAAAGCAGGUCAUAGUGAUCCGGUGGUUCUGAAUGGAAGGGCCAUCGCUCAACGGAUAAAAGGUACUCCGGGGAUAACAGGCUGAUACCGCCCAAGAGUUCAUAUCGACGGCGGUGUUUGGCACCUCGAUGUCGGCUCAUCACAUCCUGGGGCUGAAGUAGGUCCCAAGGGUAUGGCUGUUCGCCAUUUAAAGUGGUACGCGAGCUGGGUUUAGAACGUCGUGAGACAGUUCGGUCCCUAUCUGCCGUGGGCGCUGGAGAAUUGAGGGGGGCUGCUCCUAGUACGAGAGGACCGGAGUGGACGCAUCACUGGUGUUCGGGUUGUCAUGCCAAUGGCACUGCCCGGUAGCUAAAUGCGGAAGAGAUAAGUGCUGAAAGCAUCUAAGCACGAAACUUGCCCCGAGAUGAGUUCUCCCUGAGACUUUAAGUCUCCUGAAGGAACGUUGAAGACGACGACGUUGAUAGGCCGGGUGUGUAAGCGCAGCGAUGCGUUGAGCUAACCGGUACUAAUGAACCGUGAGGCUUAACCUU
rnacentral:rRNA from 1 species